rnacentral:rRNA from 1 species
GUUGUAUAGUCAAGUAAUUAAGUGCAUGUGGUGGAUGCCUUGGCAGUCAGAGGCGAUGAAAGACGUGAUAGCCUGCGAAAAGCUCCGGGGAGGCGGCAAAUAUCCUUUGAUCCGGAGAUGUCUGAAUGGGGGAACCCACCUACUUUAAGGUAGGUAUUGCAACAUGAAUACAUAGUGUUGCAAGGCGAACGAGGGGAAGUGAAACAUCUCAGUACCCUUAGGAAAAGAAAUCAAUUGAGAUUCCCUCAGUAGCGGCGAGCGAACGGGGAUCAGCCCAUUAAGUUAUGUGUGUUUUAGUGGAACGCUCUGGGAAGUGCGAACGUAGAGGGUGAUAUUCCCGUACACGAAAGGGCACACAUAAUGAUGACGAGUAGGGCGAGGCACGUGAAACCUUGUCUGAAUAUGGGGGGACCAUCCUCCAAGGCUAAAUACUCCUGACUGACCGAUAGUGAACCAGUACCGUGAGGGAAAGGCGAAAAGAACCCCUGUGAGGGGAGUGAAAUAGAUCCUGAAACCGCAUGCAUACAAGCAGUGGGAGCACCUUCGUGGUGUGACUGCGUACCUUUUGUAUAAUGGGUCAGCGACUUAUAUUCAGUAGCGAGGUUAACCGUAUAGGGGAGCCGUAGAGAAAUCGAGUCUUAAUAGGGCGUUUAGUUGCUGGGUAUAGACCCGAAACCAGGCGAUCUAUCCAUGAGCAGGUUGAAGGUUGGGUAACACUAACUGGAGGACCGAACCCACUGUCGUUGAAAAGCCAGGGGAUGACUUGUGGAUAGGGGUGAAAGGCUAAUCAAGCCUGGUGAUAGCUGGUUCUCCCCGAAAGCUAUUUAGGUAGCGCCUCGGACGAAUACCAUAGGGGGUAGAGCACUGUUUCGGCUAGGGGGUCAUCCCGACUUACCAAACCGAUGCAAACUCCGAAUACCUAUGAGUACUAUCCGGGAGACAGACUGCGGGUGCUAACGUCCGUAGUCAAGAGGAAAACAAUCCAGACCGCCAGCUAAGGCCCCAAAAUCAUAGUUAAGUGGGAAACGAUGUGGGAAGGCAUAGACAGCUAGGAGGUUGGCUUAGAAGCAGCCACCCUUUAAAGAAAGCGUAAUAGCUCACUAGUCGAGUCGGCCUGCGCGGAAGAUGUAACGGGGCUAAAACUAUGUGCCGAAGCUGCGGAUNNNNNNNNNNNNNNNNNNNNNNNNNNNNNNNNNNNNNNNNNNNNNNNNNNNNNNNAUGCUGGAGGUAUCAGAAGUGCGAAUGCUGACGUGAGUAACGACAAAACGGGUGAAAAACCCGUUCGCCGAAAGACCAAGGGUUCCAGUCCAACGUUAAUCGGGGCUGGGUGAGUCGACCCCUAAGGCGAGGCCGAAAGGCGUAGUCGAUGGGAAAAUGGUUAAUAUUCCAUUACUUCUGUGUAAUGCGAUGAGAGGACGGAGAAGGCUAAAUCAGCCUGGCGUUGGUUGUCCAGGUGAAAGGAUGUAGGCAUGUAUCUUAGGCAAAUCCGGGGUACUCUAUGCUGAGAUCUGAUAGCAAGCUGUACUUGUACAGCGAAGUGGUUGAUGCCAUGCUUCCAGGAAAAGUCUCUAAGCUUCAGUUACACAGGAAUCGUACCCGAAACCGACACAGGUGGUCAGGUCGAGUAGACCAAGGCGCUUGAGAGAACUCUGCUGAAGGAACUAGGCAAAAUGGUACCGUAACUUCGGGAGAAGGUACGCUGUUGUUGGUGAUGGAACUCGCUUCCUGAGCUGACGACAGCCGCAGAAACCAGGCCGCUGCAACUGUUUAUUAAAAACAUAGCACUCUGCAAACACGAAAGUGGACGUAUAGGGUGUGAUGCCUGCCCGGUGCUGGAAGGUUAAUUGAUGGGGUUAGCGUAAGCGAAGCUCUUGAUCGAAGCCCCAGUAAACGGCGGCCGUAACUAUAACGGUCCUAAGGUAGCGAAAUUCCUUGUCGGGUAAGUUCCGACCUGCACGAAUGGCAUAAUGAUGGCGGCGCUGUCUCCAGCAGAGGCUCAGUGAAAUCGAAAUCGCUGUGAAGAUGCAGUGUACCCGCGGCUAGACGGAAAGACCCCGUGAACCUUUACUGCAGCUUGACACUGAACUUUGACCUUACUUGUGUAGGAUAGGUGGGAGGCUUUGAAGCUGGAACGCUAGUUCCAGUGGAGCCGUCCUUGAAAUACCACCCUGGUAAUGUUGAGGUUCUAACUCUGUCCCGUGAUCCGGGACGAGGACCGUGUCUGGUGGGUAGUUUGACUGGGGCGGUCUCCUCCUAAAGAGUAACGGAGGAGUACGAAGGUGCGCUCAGCGUGGUCGGAAAUCACGCGUAGAGUAUAAAGGCAAAAGCGCGCUUAACUGCGAGACCCACAAGUCGAGCAGGUACGAAAGUAGGUCUUAGUGAUCCGGUGGUUCUGUAUGGAAGGGCCAUCGCUCAACGGAUAAAAGGUACUCUGGGGAUAACAGGCUGAUACCGCCCAAGAGUUCAUAUCGACGGCGGUGUUUGGCACCUCGAUGUCGGCUCAUCUCAUCCUGGGGCUGAAGCAGGUCCCAAGGGUAUGGCUGUUCGCCAUUUAAAGAGGUACGCGAGCUGGGUUUAGAACGUCGUGAGACAGUUCGGUCCCUAUCUACCGUGGGCGCUGGAAAUUUGAGAGGAUCUGCUCCUAGUACGAGAGGACCAGAGUGGACGAACCUCUGGUGUACCGGUUGUGACGCCAGUCGCAUCGCCGGGUAGCUAUGUUCGGAAGGGAUAACCGCUGAAAGCAUCUAAGCGGGAAGCCUACCUCAAGAUAAGAUUUCCCUAGGACUUUAUGUCCUCUAAAGAGCCGUUCGAGACUAGGACGUUGAUAGGUUGGAUGUGGAAGCAUAGUGAUAUGUGAAGCUGACCAAUACUAAUUGCUCGUGAGGCUUGACUAUACAACACCCAAGCAGUUG